UAGGGAAUCUUCCACAAUGGACGAAAGUCUGAUGGAGCAACGCCGCGUGAGUGAGGAAGGGUUUCGGCUCGUAAAACUCUGUUGUUAAAGAAGAACAUAUCUGAGAGUAACUGUUCAGGUAUUGACGGUAUUUAACCAGAAAGCCACGGCUAACUACGUGCCGG
rnacentral:rRNA from 1 species